rnacentral:rRNA from 1 species
GACGAACGCUGGCGGCGUGCUUAACACAUGCAAGUCGAACGGAAAGGCCCCUUCGGGGGUGCUCGAGUGGCGAACGGGUGAGUAACACGUGGGUGAUCUGCCCUGCACUUUGGGAUAAGCCUGGGAAACUGGGUCUAAUACCGGAUAGGACUACGGCCUGCAUGGGUUGUGGUGGAGAGCUUUUGCGGUGUGGGAUGGGCCCGCGGCCUAUCAGCUUGUUGGUGGGGUGAUGGCCUACCAAGGCGUCGACGGGUAGCCGGCCUGAGAGGAUGUCUGGCGACAAUGGGACUUAGAUCCGGCCCAGACUCCUACGUGAGGCAGCAGUUGGGAAUAUUGCACAAUGGGCGCAAGCCUGAUGCAGCGACGCCGCGUGGGGGAAGACGGCCUUCAGGUUGUAAACCUCUUUCAGCACAGACGAAGCGCAAGUGACGGUAUGUGCAGAAGAAGCACCGGCCAACUACGUGCCAGCCGCCGCGGUAAAAC